GUGAAUAUGGCACUGAUGAAGGAGCCACAGCUUGAUCAGGAGAAGAUUGAAGCCACAAGGAAGGCGAGAGAGUAAGAAAGCGUCAGGAUCAACGGAUCGGGCAUCCCAAUGAGGCCAGAGAGUUGUGAGCUGUGUAUCUAUCCUGACUCCCACCUUGGACUCCAGCCUAGCUGUGGAGGGACAGCAGUGGCAUGUGACCUGGGCUGUAAAGAAAGGACACAAUAUGAGCGUGCAGAGAUGGAGACAUGGGCAUGCUGAGGAGAGAAGCAGAAGACCCCCAGGGCAUGUGGCUGAAAUGUUAGCACCUGCAACUUGAAAUGAACAUAGAACUGAAGGAACCCUCAAUUUCAUGUCAUGUGUCAAUAUAGAGCCAGCAAAUGUGAGAGCUGGGAGAAAUAAGCAAGGUUAAAUCCCUGUGGUGGUCUUUGGCAUGUCAAGUAUAACGGAGGUUGGCACAAGCAAAAUGCUUUCUUCAGUUCCAAAUUCUAAUUUCCCUCCAGAGAACAAUCAUAUUUCCCUUCAGCUUACUUAGAGUGUGAGUCCACUUGCGAGAGAAAAAUCAGAAAAGAGAGAAAGAGAAAAUGAAGAGAAGAAAAGGCAGCAAAGACAUAGAGAUUUCUCACUCAAGUGGGGCUCAGCACUUUAUCUGUAGGGUGUCCUUCCCAAAGCCCACAGUGCCAGUCUAAUCAUGACAAAAAAAAUAUGACAAGCCCAAAUUGAGGAACAGUCUACAAAAUACUCACCCUGUACUCCUCAAAGCGAUCAAGGUCAUGUAAACAAAAGAAGAUGGAGAAACUGUCACAGUCCAAGGAGGGAGGGCUACUGAGGGCAACAUGGCUGGGAUCCUGGAAAAGAAAAGGAUGCUCGUAGGAAACUGGUAGAAUCCAAAUAACACCUUUAGCUUGGUUUACAGUGAUGUAUAAUGUUGAAUUCUUAGUCCUGACAAAUGUAACAUGGUUAUAUAAGAUGUUAACAUUAGGGGAAACUGGAUGAAGGGUAUACAAGGAUUCUGUGCUAUACUGGCAACUUUUCUGUAAAUCUAAAACUAUUCAAAAAUUUAAAAGUUAUUUACAAAACUUAGGAGAAUCAAAGGAAAAGCAACGUGAGCCUUAAAAUAUAUUAUUUGACUUCACUGGAGAGAAAGAGAGCUGUAUAAGACUUACAUAAAAGGGACCAGCAGUAUAUGCUUU
rnacentral:lncRNA from 1 species